rnacentral:rRNA from 1 species
AGAGUUUGAUCAUGGCUCAGAUUGAACGCUGGCGGCGUGCUUAACACAUGCAAGUCGAGCGGUAACGCGGGAGCAAUCCUGGCGACGAGCGGCGAACGGGUGAGUAAUGCUUCGGAAUCUACCCAGUAGUGGGGAAUAACCAACCGAAAGGUUGGCUAAUACCGCAUACGUCCUGAGGGAGAAAGCGGGGGAUCGUAAGACCUUGCGCUAUUGGAUGAGCCGAAGUCGGAUUAGCUAGUUGGUAGGGUAACGGCCUACCAAGGCGACAAUCCGUAGCUGGUCUGAGAGGACGACCAGCCACACUGGGACUGAGACACGGCCCAGACUCCUACGGGAGGCAGCAGUGGGGAAUAUUGGACAAUGGGGGCAACCCUGAUCCAGCGACGCCGCGUGUGUGAAGAAGGCCUGCGGGUUGUAAAGCACUUUUAGUGGGGAUGAAAAGCUCAGGGCUAAUACCGCUGAGUCUUGACCUAACCCACAGAAAAAGCACCGGCUAACUCUGUGCCAGCAGCCGCGGUAAUACAGAGGGUGCGAGCGUUAAUCGGAAUUACUGGGCGUAAAGCGUGCGUAGACGGUUUUGUAAGUCGGAUGUGAAAUCCCCGGGCUCAACCUGGGAAUUGCAUUCGAGACUGCAAGGCUUGGGUGCGGAAGAGGGAAGCGGAAUUUCCGGUAGCGGUGAAAUGCGUAGAUAUCGGAAGGAACAUCAGUGGCGAAAGCGGCUUCCUGGUCCAGCACCGACGUUCAGGCACGAAAGCGUGGGGAGCAAACAGGAUUAGAUACCCCGGUAGUCC